rnacentral:rRNA from 1 species
UACAGAGGUCUCAAGCGUUGUUCGGAUUCAUUGGGCGUAAAGGGCGCGUAGGCGGCCCUCUAAGUCAGACGUGAAAUCCCUCGGCUCAACCGGGGAACUGCGUCUGAUACUGGAGGGCUUGAAUCCGGGAGAGGGAUGUGGAAUUCCAGGUGUAGCGGUGAAAUGCGUAGAUAUCUGGAGGAACACCGGUGGCGAAGGCGGCAUCCUGGACCGGUAUUGACGCUGAGGCGCGAAAGCUAGGGGAGCAAACGGG